CAGCCCCCGCCACCGCGCCCUCCACCCUCGACGCGGCUGGCCCACGAGGACCAGCGCGGCUGCUCCCUCCUCACCGACCACGGCCGCCGCGACGACCAGAUGGGAGAAGCUCCAUGCCGGCGUGGUGGUGCGCCACCGAGCCACCCCCCACACGCCCUGCACCUUGAAUCUAGCCGAGGGAGCUGCGUCUCCAGCCAAGACUACCACUGAUCGAUUCACCUCCGGCGAGAAGGGGAGCGCCACCCACCACGCAGCAGCAGCAGCUCCUUCAUCCAUGGCGCGGAAUUGAAUUUCCAUUUCUGACUAGGCUUUCCAUAAACCACCAUUCCCAUUGUUUGUUUGGUUCUAGGGAUUAGUCGGGCUGAAUUUCAAUAAGCCAUUACUCCAAUUUCAAGUGUACCUUUCUCUUACAUAGCAUUCUUUCUACUGAUGGCAUGUAACAGGUCACCUAAAAUUGGACCCCCAACUUCAUCUGGUAGGGUACCUAGGAAUUUCUACCCACUAGUCAAGACUACAAGUAUCCCGCAAAAAAAAAAAAAGUCAAGACUACAAGUGCAGUAAGUCCAACUUCAUCUGCUAGGGUACCUAAGAAUUUUCCUCCAGGAGUAAAGACUACAGGUGAAGUAAGAAGUACAAGAAAGGACCAUGGUUUGCACAAGCGAGUGGUAUUUUGCAAGAGGGCUCAGAUGUCGGCUAUUAUGUUGGGGGAAAGGAUUACUUCUUGCCGUUUAUUUACACACCUUCUCUUAUCGGGCAGUACAAAUAUUGUUGUUAUUAAUACUGUUGUCCACUAACAUUCUAGAGGUUGCUACAUAAAGGAACUUGGAAUCAAUUAUCAUUGUUGCAAUACAGUGAUAAAAUUGCUAUCACUCCCGUUAGAUACAUACCAAUAAAACAACUCAAUCAACUAGUCAUCCUGGAACCUUAGUCUAUUUCAGUGAUACUACUGAACCUAACCAAGAAUUUUGUUAUGCUGUGCGAACAGGUUAGUCCUUCACUAUUAUUCAAAGCAAACCGUGAGUUUGUAGUCUUGUUAUGUAUUCUGUUAGGGCCCUGUUCAAACUAUUAUUUGCUCUGCUAACACUAUUGCAGUUACCACAACAUAUGCAUGCCCAAUGACAUUCUUUCAUGAUUUGUCCGUGUUGAGUGAUGAUGGUGUUUUUUAGCAGCUGCGGAAAUCUCAUUUUGAUAAACUGACAAGUGUGUGUUUCUAUUUGUUCAGUUUGGGAGGGAAUGUGACAUUGGAUGCCUGAAGGAACAUGGAUGUGCUGCGCCGUGUUGCGUGUGGGAUGCAGCAAGAUGGUGGUUCGUGUGAUCCCUCUUCCGUGUCAUGGGCAGCGAAGCCGGCGGGCUACCCUUGGUCGCCAUGAGCAGGGAUAACCAAGGCUUGAUGUACACAAUCAUGAGAGAUAUUUGUUUUACUCAUGCUAGAUGUGUGGUGAAUGCAAACGAAAGGAAGUGUGAAUGCCUCCCCUUCCAGAAAAACAUAGGAGCGUGCCAACUUCUAGUGGAAGUCAUGCCGGGAAGAGGCGAAUUCCAUGCCGACCGUAUCCACGGAUGGAUGUGACACUGAAGAUGAUCCCACAGGGACAGGGAAAGAGAUGAUCACUGAAGAUGAUGCUGCUACAGGAGAGGAAUUCGGAAAAUGAUCUAACCGUGGCACAAGAGAUGAUUCUUUGAUCAUUUCCAGAGAGGUUUCUGAGCUGGAAGGAAUUAUUUGCAUACAAGCAUUGUAUGGAUCUCCUUUUUUAUGGGGGUCCUCAACUAUUAAGAGAAUCUCCUUUUUUUUUAGGAAAUAGGAGAAUCUCCUCCUUUAUUUUAUGGAUUUUGGUGUAAGCAUGCAUGAAACACUGGAUGCAGGAUGGGCCGUGGCGCUAGGUGAUUUGUUCCACUGGGCGCAGUAUAGUAAGCUAUGCCAAAGUGGGCCGGUCCAAUAGGGGGUUUUCUCUCUGAUUAUUUGUUAAAAUAAAUUGUUGGCAGCUGUUUUCAUUA